GAUGAACGCUGGCGGCGUGCUUAACACAUGCAAGUCGAACGGAAAGGCUCCUGCUUGCAGGGGUACUCGAGUGGCGAACGGGUGAGUAACACGUGGGUGAUCUGCCCUGCACUUCGGGAUAAGCCUGGGAAACUGGGUCUAAUACCGGAUAGGACGAUGGUUUGGAUGCCAUUGUUGAAAGUUUUUCGGUGUGGGAUGAGCUCGCGGCCUAUCAGCUUGUUGGUGGGGUAAUGGCCUACCAAGGCGUCGACGGGUAGCCGGCCUGAGAGGGUGUACGGCCACAUUGGGACUGAGAUACGGCCCAGACUCCUACGGGAGGCAGCAGUGGGGAAUAUUGCACAAUGGGCGCAAGCCUGAUGCAGCGACGCCGCGUGGGGGAUGACGGCCUUCGGGUUGUAAACUCCUUUCGCUAGGGACGAAGCGCAAGUGACGGUACCUGGAGAAGAAGCACCGGCUAACUACGUG
rnacentral:rRNA from 1 species